UGCGGCUAUUAGAAGCAAUAUUGAUAAAAUAACAAACCAUCCAUAAAAGUAGCCAGGUACAAAUAAAAGUCCUUUAAGAACGCUUCUUAUCACUACUUGUAUAAAAGUAAUAUUUUCGGAUGUAUUUGUAUGUUUAAUGCGUAUACCAUAUAGAAAUUUUCCUGGGGUUUGACCAAAUUUUGUCAGCAUUAGUAUUUCUAAUACCACAGACAUUAGUGAUCCUAUCACUAUGUCUUGUAAUGAAAAAAGGGUUGUAUCAUCAAAAAUAAUACGAUCUAUAUCAUCAAUGUUGUGCAGGUCUGAGUACAGAGGUUUAUCCAAUAUGAAAAAAAAUAAUAAGCCAUAAAUUAUGUAAUAUAUCUGUUGGUCAACAACAUACGCUAUUAUGCGUCUGAUACUUCCUGCGUAAUUUACUUGCGUGUUCAUUUUACACCUCACAUACUACUGUUUUUGCAAUUUUAUCAUAAAAAAACUGUUUGCGUUUGUCGAAUAUUGCAGCUAUUAGAGCCAAUAUUUGUAAAAUAAAAAACCAUCCAUUAAAACAAAUAGGUACAAAUAGAAGUUCUUUAAGAACGCUUCUUAUUACUACUUGCCUAAAAGUAAUAUUUUCGGAUGUAUUUUCAUGUUUGACACGUGCACUACAUAUAAAUUUUCCUGGGGUCUGGCCGAAUUUUGUUAGCAAUAGGAUCUCUAAUGAUAUAACUAUUAGAGAUCCUAUUGCUAUGUCUAGCAGUGAAAAAAGGUCUGUAUAAGAAGUGGUAUUUAUGUCAACAUUGUACAGCUCUGAAUGGAGAAGCUUAUAAAAUAUGAGCCAAAGUAAUAAGCUAUUAAUUAGGUAAUAUAUACCUUGAUCAACAACAUACGCUAUUAUUCGUCUGAUCAUUCCUGCGUAAUUUAUUUGUGUGUCCAUCUUUAUACCUCAUAUAUAUGAUCACCAAGUGUAGCAUCUAGUAAUUAAACAAUAGUAAAAUUGAUGGCUGUCUUCUCUGA